rnacentral:lncRNA from 10 species
CUCGGAGCGCGGAGGUGGCAGAGGAAGGGAAAGGCCAAUGUAGGGGCGGGGGCCCUGAGCCAAAGACCCGGGAGAAACCGAUCUGGGUGCAAGAGCCGGUGCGACUUUCACGGCUUGUGGGAAGUUUGUGGGCUAGAAAGGUGGGCUGCUUCUGUGAGCUUCUCUGUGAGACUAUAUUCGAAAGGACAACCAGGAAACAUUUUUUUUUUUCUCUAGGAAAAAACGAAUAGACCCAGCCGAUGGGUUUUUAUCCUGUGCGCUCCUUCCUUUAUUCUUACGAUAGCAAACUCAAAGAUCUAAUGGGGCCUGACAGGCACUGUAACUGGGGGAAGGCGAACUGGAGAGAGCUCCGAAGGCAGGGCCGCUUAUCUGCUCUCAGGGUCCCUUGCUAUCGGGCAAGAAUUAGACCUAGUGUUGCUAGAUUUUCUGAUUUUUCCAGAAAUGACGGAGUAUAUUCAUGUACAAUAUCCUGAUUUGUAAAAUCUUGAUAACAAAUUCAAUUUUCUCAAAACACCCUGGACUAAACAAAACAUAUCUGCGUCCCCUCCCUGCUGAACCCCCCAGACAGUGAUUUGAGCAUUGUGAUUCUGCACUCUUUUAGCGAAGUGGUGCUGAGUGCUCACUGUGGUUUGGGAAAGUGCUGGAAAGGAUCCAAGAUGAUUCAGAAUAUCUUCGAAGUACUACUAGUUACUAGGGGAAAUGGGUUUUCCUGACAGUAGAGCGCUACACUUAAAUGCUGGAGCGUUCAAGAAGAAAGACGUUACUAAUGUAGAAAGCGGUUGUAAGAACUAACUUUUGGGAAACAUCAUUAGUAAAAGUAUCUGUGUGGGGAGUCACUGCAGGGCCGAUAACAGUGCCCCGGAAGGCACUUUUGAGCCUGAAGCAAUAGGAAAAACCCCUAAACUUACCCUGUCUUUAUUUAAAAUUUUGUUAUUUUUCAUCAUGCAUUUUUGAUAUUAAUUUUGAUUUUUUUAAAUAUUCCAUUAAAAUAUUAACCUUGAUUACUGAAUUCUUUGGUGAACCUUUAAGUGCUGUGACUCACCUCACCCUAGCCUGGCCCUGUUGGGGUGUUAGAUGGUGGUACACAGACCUGCUUGUUUGGAGUGCAAGGGAUCUAGUCAAGAGGACUCUCUCCCUCUGUACAAAGUGUUCUCUAACUCAUGUACCGGUCAUCACGGUAGUGUCUGCCUCAAACACCUGGGACCUACCUUAGUGUGGGAGGUGAUUCUCCCUGCAGGUAACCUAAUUUGUUGCUGCAUUCAUGGAGAACAAACCACUGCUUAUCUAUGGGAAGCAUUUUAAGCAUGCAGACCUCUCAAAGAAAACAAAAACAAAAACAAAAACAAAAAAGACCGUGGAUGUUUAAACAAGAAGCCUUCCAGAAGUCAUGUAAAGGAGGAAGUACCUAGCCCAGGAUCUGUCACAUAACAAGUAGUUACAAAUAUUUGCAGAAU